rnacentral:pre_miRNA from 1 species
CAUUUUAUGCAGGGAAAUUGAUUCAAGUGAGCAUUGCUUUAAAAACAUUGUUUUACAUUUGUUUAGUAUAUAAAUUGAUCAUUUUUUUUUCUGGUUUAUUUAUCUUUCUUUCUCAUAAAACUUAAUAUCUAUGUAUGUAUUUUAUUGUAGCAUUUGGUGUUAUAAGUAUGUAUGAUGAGAGCCUAGGCUGAUCAAUGCCACUGCGAAAAAACCCUGCAUGCAUUUGAGCAACGUGAAAGAAAGACAAAAUAAACCCAAAAAAAAUAAGCAAUUUAUAUACUAAACAAAUGUAAAACAAUGUUUUUAAAGCACAUCAAAUAUGCUCACUUGAAUCAGUUUCCCUGCAAAAGAUGU